ACACAGUUAUUACAUAGAUGAUAAAUGGAUGCAUCAAGAUGAUCAUUAGUUUAAGGAUUCUUAAUAAUGAAUGUUAAUUUAUCAAAAACUUAUAGAUACAUAUACAUUUUAAUUUUUGAUACCAGUAAAAUAUAUUUAAUUAAAUCAAAAUAGUUUUUACUGAAUGAAUUUUAUAUAAAAUUGUGCAUUAAAACUACUCUACAAUUCUAAAAAUACAUGUAUAAUGAAAAUUUUGUCACAUAGAAGUUUCCAAAGCGCACCUCAGGAGUGUAUUAAAUUGGUUUUGUAAAGAUGUUUUUAUCCAUUAUACUUUAACUGUAAGAUGUCACAAUUAGGUCAUUAAAUUUUAAGUUUAUGUACAGUUUACCAGUUGGAAAAAUUUUUGUUCAAAACUUGCUUUAAACCAGCAAUUCUAGAACGCACAAUAAUGUCUUUAUGAACGGUUUCAGAGCUUCUGUAAGGUUGGGGUCAACUGAAGGUCAAUUGUACAAUAAAAGAAUGAGCUGUAUAUAAAGAUUAAUUGGGGUUUUUUUUUAUUCAUAUUGAUGAAUUUUUUGCCAAUUCCAUAUGAAUCAGGAAAAUAAAUGCAUUGUUUAUUUUAAUCAGAUUUGUUGUCAGUGAUGCAUUGUUUUUAAUGUAAAAUAUUCUAGCAGUAUUAGAUGGUUGGCACCUCUGCAUUCUUGAUUUGUAAAUUUAAAGUCAAUGAAAUAAUUGCCACAUAAUUUUUUUCAUGCAGUAACUUGAUUGAUGAUGUGUUUCGUCCUCAUACUUGAGGAUCUUGUACUUGUUUUGGCUUCAGUGACUUGGCUUCUUUUAUUUCGUCACAAUAUUUUUUAGCAGAAAUAAAAAGAAGAGAAACUGG
rnacentral:sRNA from 1 species